rnacentral:rRNA from 1 species
UGGAUCCAGACUUUGAUUCUGGCUCAGGAUGAACGCUGGCGGCGUGCCUAACACAUGCAAGUCGGACGGGCUUAACUUGAAACCUAGUGAUUGUUAAGUUAGUGGCGGACGGGUGAGUAACGCGUGGAUAACCUGCCGUAUGCAGGGGGAUAACAGCUGGAAACAGCUGCUAAUACCGCAUAAGCGCACAGUACCGCAUGGUACGGUGUGAAAAGAUUUAUCGGCAUAUGAUGGAUCCGCGUCCGAUUAGCCAGUUGGCGGGGUAACGGCCCACCAAAGCGACGAUCGGUAGCCGGCCUGAGAGGGCGGACGGCCACAUUGGGACUGAGACACGGCCCAAACUCCUACGGGAGGCAGCAGUGGGGAAUAUUGCACAAUGGGGGGAACCCUGAUGCAGCGACGCCGCGUGAGUGAAGAAGUAAUUCGUUACGUAAAGCUCUAUCAGCAGGAAAGAAAAAUGACGGUACCUGACUAAGAAGCCCCGGCUAACUACGUGCCAGCAGCCGCGGUAAUACGUAGGGGGCAAGCGUUAUCCGGAUUUACUGGGUGUAAAGGGAGCGUAGACGGCACAGCAAGUCCGGAGUGAAAACCCACGGCCCAACCGUGGGACUGCUCUGGAAACUGUUGGGCUUGAGUGCGGGAGGGGCAGGCGGAAUUCCUAGUGUAGCGGUGAAAUGCGUAGAUAUUAGGAGGAACACCGGCGGCGAAGGCGGCCUGCUGGACCGUAACUGACGUUGAGGCUCGAAAGCGUGGGGAGCAAACAGGAUUAGAUACCCUGGUAGUCCACGCCGUAAACGAUGAUUACUAGGUGUCGCGGUACGAAGUACUGCGGUGCCGCCGCAAACGCAGUAAGUAAUCCACCUGGGGAGUACGUUCGCAAGAAUGCAACUCAAAUGAAUUGACGGA